GGAUUAGAUACCCUGGUAGUCCACGCCCUAAACGAUGAUAACUCGAUGUUGGCGAUACACAGUCAGCGUCCCAGCGAAAGCGUUAAGUUAUCCACCUGGGGAGUACGCCCGCAAGGGUGAAACUCAAAGGAAUUGACGGGGGCCCGCACAAGCGGAGGAGCAUGUGGUUUAAUUCGAUGAUACGCGAGGAACCUUACCCGGGCUUGAAAGUUAGUGACGGAUGCAGAGACGCAUCCUUCCUUCGGGACACGAAACUAGGUGCUGCAUGGCUGUCGUCAGCUCGUGCCG
rnacentral:rRNA from 1 species